CCUACGGGUGGCAGCAGUGAGGAAUAUUGGUCAAUGGACGCUAGCCUGAACCAGCCAAGUAGCGUGAAGGAUGACUGCCCUAUGGGUUGUAAACUUCUUUUAUAUGGGAAUAAAAUGCAGUAUGUGUAGGACUUUGCAUGUACCAUAUGAAUAAGGAUCGGCUAACUCCGUGCCAGCAGCCGCGGUAAUACGGAGGAUCCGAGCGUUAUCCGGAUUUAUUGGGUUUAAAGGGAGCGUAGGCGGAUUGUUAAGUCAGUUGUGAAAGUUUGCGGCUCAACCGUAAAAUUGCAGUUGAGACUGGCAGUCUUGAGUACAGUAGAGGUAGGCGGAAUUCGUGGUGUAGCGGUGAAAUGCUUAGAUAUCACGAAGAACUCCGAUUGCGAAGGCAGCCCGCUGGACUGCAACUGACACUGAGGCUCGAAAGUGUGGGUAUCAAACAGGAUUAGAUACCCCUGUAGUC
rnacentral:rRNA from 1 species